AUUGAACGCUGGCGGCAGGCCUAACACAUGCAAGUCGAGCGGAGCGGCGGACGGGUGAGUAAUGCCUAGGAAUCUGCCUGGUAGUGGGGGAUAACGUCAGGAAACGGGCGAUAAUAACGCAAACUAUAAGAUGAGCAUAGUUCUGAUUAGCUAGUGGGUGGGGGAAAGGCCUACCAAGGCGACGAUCCGUAACUGGUAUGAGAGGAUGAUCCGUCACACUGGCACUGUGACACGGUCCAGACUCCUACGGUCUGCAGCGGUGGGGGAUAUGGGACAAUGGGCGAAAUCCUGUUCCAGCCAUGCCGCGUGUGUGCAGCGGGUCUUCGGAUUGUAAAGCACUUUAAGUUGGUGAGCGUUACCAGCAGAAUAAGCACCGGCUCACUUCGUGCCAGCAGCCGCGGUAAUUC
rnacentral:rRNA from 1 species